AUGGCGUGGAUCACCAUCGCUUCCUUCAACCCCUCCUCCCUGACCGGGCCAUACAUCGCCGGCGGCGCCUCCCCACGCUCCUCCGCCUAUCCCGACUGGGUCCUACUCCGCAAGACGGCGCGCAUCUCGGCGUUCCGGAACGCGACCACCGCCGAGGGCCGCACGGCCGAGGGCCGAGCCGUCGAGGUGUCCUUCUGGCUCGUCGACCCGCCGGGCGUCUCCUACUUCUCCGUCCACUGCCCCGGCCUCCAAGAGGACGACUUCUCCGGCGAGCCCCAGGUCGUCUGCGCCGAGGCCGCCUUCGUCCUCUUCCGCGUCAGAUUCAGCUUCCGCAGCGAGAGGCGGAUCUCCACCCAUCACUUCGUCUACACGGCCCGCGGCGCCGCGGGGCCGCCCUCACUGCAACUCCUCCCGGAGCCCCCCGGCGUCGAGGCCGUCAAAUCCCACCAGCUUGGCCUCUUGCCGUGCGGCGGCGAGCGCUACGCGGUCGCCUUCCUCGAUCGCAAUUGGACUGCCCGAGGUGACGCCUGGCAGUGGCAGUUCGAUGCCUACGUCUUCUCGUCAGAGACAUGUUCCUGGAGCAAGAAGGAGGCCUCAAUGGGCUUAUCGGAGUCUGACGCCGCAUUGUUGCGUCCCUAUGCGACCUCCAAGCAGAUCGCGGUCGGAGCAAGCGCGCUGGGCUGGGUUGAUAUCUCACGCGGCAUUACUCUCCUCUGCAACCUGUUCGACGAGUGUCCUGUCGUAAAAUACAUCCCCUUCCCGGCGCCAGGGGUUUGCAUCACACCCUACUACCGUCUCACUCGUCACUCGGCGCAAUGCUUCCACGAUGUCGCCUGCUAUGACGGUCUGAUCAAAUUCGUCGAGAUAGGCUUCGAUGGACCUGACUGCAUGAUAAAGGGUAAAGGCUGGCGAGCCACCACAUGGAUCAGAAACAUCUCUUGGGGAGGUUGGCGCAAGCACACCAGAGUUGAUGUUGCUAACAUCUCGGUUGACCCAAGAUAUUCUGCUCUGUUGCCUGAGCUGUGGAACCAUGAGACCCAUAAGCUAGAGCUGAAGAAACUGGUUUUCUUACUACCCACCCUGAGCGUGCGCAACGAUGAUCUUCUUCACAUCAUGGCCAAGGUGGGUGGGGAACAUGACAAGGCCUGGGUCAUCGCCGUUGACAUGAAAAGUACGGUUGUGGAGGGACUAGCCCCGGUUUCGACCGGACGGUACUGCCCCAGUACAAUGUUCUCCCCAUGUGCCUUCCCCAGUUACCUCAACAACAUGACCCAAGGAAACAAGUCUGAAGAACCACUCGUUGGUUGUGAUGGAGGAAUCUUGGAAGAAGAGGAAAUUCAAGCCGAGAACAGGAUAAGAGGGCCUGAGAUGGGCAACCCAGUGGACAAUUACUUUAAGAGGAUGAGUGCUUCACAGUGUGCUCUGCAAGUGCUGUUCACUCAACGCUGGUUCAGGGAACUUGAUGAAUGGUUGGGUUCUCAGGGGUCAGCUUGUGAUGCAUGCUGCAAAUCACUACCUUACUGGUGUCCAGCAUCAGCUCUGUGUUUCGAUAUUGAGGCAGUGGUAAACUAUGCUUCCUAUAAUGGUGAAGGAGAAGGUGCUUCCAUGGCUGUAGAUUCCUGCUUACGAGCUUUGGACGAUUUCUAUAAACUACUGAAGGAGUCACCUCUGAGUGAUCCAUCAACAACUGAAGCCAUGAAGCGUCAAAUCAGGGUUGCCCUUGGAGCUCUAGACAGCAUCUUGGAAUUUGUACCACUAAACCGUAUGCCCAGGAGCAUACAAAAGGUGCUUGUAGAUGUUUGCCUGGAACAAAAAGAAAAAACACUAGUAUGUGAACACUUGGAGAAGCCAGGCCAUACAGAGGAUGAAUCUGACGAAUGGCAGCAAUGGGGAUCAGACUCGGGGGACGAAUCGGAUGAAUGGCAGCAAGGGUCAUCCGACUCGGAGGAUGAAUCUGAUGAAUGGCAGCAAGUGGGACCCGACUCGGAUGACUCUCUAGAGACUCGUGGGGAGAAGAAGCAGGCACAGGUUCUGGGUCGCCGGUCGGGGUACUCGUAUUGGCUGUAUUUUGUUGGCUGCGUAUUGGUAGCGGUCGCCGCAAGAGCGUUGAGUCACCUCACUUUAAUGUCAUAG
rnacentral:rRNA from 1 species